CAUGGCCGUCGUCAGUUCGUGAUUUGAAUUGUUCCCUUAAGUGGGGUAACGAACGCAACCCUCGUUGGCUGUUACAAGUGUCAGCCGAGACCAUCCCCCACACCAAUUUUGAACAUCUAGAUUUUAUAAAUCUUCUAGAGUGAUCAAAAUAAUUGAGAUAUUCUAAAUCAAAUGGAAUAUUUCGAAAUUGGUGUGGGGGGAGGAAGCGAGGAUGACGCCAGGUCAGCAUGUCCCUUUGACGCCUUGGGCUACACGCAUAAUACAAUGGUCACUACAACAGGUUGCGACAUCGUAAGAUUGAGCUAAUCCUUAGAAAAGUGGCCCCAGUUCGGAUUGGGGGCUGAAACUCGACCCCAUGAAGUUGGAAUCGCUAGUAAUCGCGGGUCAGCUAUACCGCGGUGAAUACGUUCUCAAGUCUUGUACUCACCGCCCGUCAAGUCAGGGAAGUUGGGAGUACCCAAAGGCUCACAUUAGUGGGACUAAGGUAAACUCAAUGACAAGGACUAAGUCGUAACAAGGCACGGCUAGCGGAAGCUG
rnacentral:rRNA from 1 species